AGCGAACGCUGGCGGCAGGCCUAACACAUGCAAGUCGAGCGGUCGUAGCAAUACGGCAGCGGCAGACGGGAGAGUAACACGUGGGAACGCGCCCUUCAGUUCGGGAUAACCCAGGGAAACUUGGGCUAAUACCGGAUACGCCCUUACGGGGAAAGAUUUAUUGCCGAAGGAACGGCCCGCGUCCGAUUAGCUAGUUGGUAGGGUAACGGAUCACAAAGGGGACGAUCGGUAGCCAGUCUGGGAGGAUGAUCAGCCACAUUGGGACUGAGACACGGCCCAAACUCCUACGGGAGGCAGCAGUGGGGAAUAUUGGACAAUGGGCGCAAGCCUGAUCCAGCCAUGCCGCGUGAGUGAUGAAGGCCUUAGGGUUGUAAAGCUCUUUCACCGGAGAAGAUAAUGACGGUAUCCGGAGAAGAAGCCCCGGCUAACUCCGUGCCAGCCGCCGCUGUAACAC
rnacentral:rRNA from 1 species